rnacentral:pre_miRNA from 1 species
AUCAAGGAAGGAUUAGUCCGUCUCUGGGCUGCAAGGCUUAAUUGCAAUUUAUUUUGAAUAGCAAUGAAGUUGAAAUGCCAGCUGCCCAGUGAAGGGCUGUUUACUCCUUGAA